rnacentral:lncRNA from 1 species
CCGGGGUGGGCUCCGGAGGACGGACCGCAGAGGUGGGCCGGGAGGCGCUGGCGAGCACGCAGCUCCCUCAGGCUCGUCCCAGCCUCACGUCCGGAGUCACCGCAGCAGAAUAGAGUCACACCUGGGUGUGGGCUCCUGGACCUUCCCGCGUGAGGAGACAACGGGAGCCCAUGUUCAUCAUUUUGAAGAACCACAGAUUUUGAGUCAUGCCAGGGGCUCCGGUGAAAAUGUCAUGGGAAGCCAGCCCUCCGCGUCUAACAUUUCAGCUUGAGGGUGACCGGGAGCUCUGGGGUGGCCCUAGACCUGGGAAUGGACUCCCAGGCGCAGUGGCAGGCAUUUCUCUUGCUUUUUCUUUAUGAUUGACCUGGGCUGGCCAUGUCCCCGUCAAUGCAGCUGGUUCUCAAAGGCCCCACUCUUCCCCGCGGCUCCGUUUACCACCAACGCGCUUGUCCCGUGGCACUUAGAGGGAGACCUGCUCCUCCUGAGAAUCCAGGAAGGAACUGAAGAGACGACGUUGCUUUCUGAUCUUUCUCAGGCCAGAGGAAGUUUGUGGGCCAAGUGAUAUUCCUAAUUCAAACUUUAUUAUGUAAUUAUAGUACAAAACAUAUUAUUUUUCUCUUUAUUUUUCCUCUCUCAGUUAAUGGUAAAU